AGAGCCUGCUUUAGACCCUGUAGCCCCCUCUCUCUCUGCCCUUCUUCCAUGUUCAAUCUCUCUCUCUCUCAAAAAUAAACAAAAAAAAAAGUAAAUGAAUCGUGUUACCCACUGUAUGACAGGCAACUCUUCUAGGCAUGAGGAAUAGAGAAAUUAAGGAAUCCUUGCUCCACAGGGCUCACUGUCUGGUCUUGGAAAUAAUGCAACUGAGCAAACUUAAUUUGAGUACACUGUGAUGAAAAAGCCCCCUCUAUAAUCGGACUCUGGACGUGAAGCCACCUGGGAUAGAAGUCAACAGGGUAAUCAGAGCAGGCUUCGUGGUGGAGGUGAUACUUGAGUGGAACCUUGAAGGAUAAGCAGGAGUUUGGGGAAGGGGAAGAUGCCAGGUCAACCCCCUGAGGGCAGCACCAGGUGCCCACCUGGCCCCGUGAGGCAGUACUCCCCAAGUGUUGGCUGAGCCCUGGCAGGGCAAUGAAUGAAGAGCUGGGCAGAGCCUUGAAUGCCAAGCUCAAGAGUUUGGGCUUUACUGUAAGGGAAGCUGGGAGCAGGGGGAAGGUCUCAAGCAGGGGAAUGUCAUGCCCAAAUAAAGGUCACAGAAAACAGACUGGAGGUGACUAAAUGGGAGGCUGGGGGCUCAACUGGGGGCCUGGAGCAGUCUAGGAGGAGGCAGGAAGGAAAUGCAAGUGGGAAAUGUUUCCUAAGCAUCUGUAAAAUGGGACAAUACUAGCACUUCUUCGUAGGGUCGUUGUCAGAGUAAAAGUGCACCUGAUAAUUGCUAAAACCCCGGGCAAACAUUUCUGCAGCUCUUGCUAUGUGCCAGGCACCGUUCCAAGCAGUUUACAUGUGUUAAGUCACCGAAACUUCACAAGAGCUCUGUGAGAUUGACAUUGUUAUUUCCAUUUUACAGAUGGAAAAACGGAGGUCAAGACAUGAAGUGACCUGCCCAGGGUCAGCCAUGGCAAAGCCAGGAACUGAGCCCAUGCAGACAGGAUCACGUAUGCGGAACAUCCAGCACUCUGCCACAGCACUCACGUCGGAGGCAAAGAGAAAGAAGGCGGUCGGAGAGACGCCUCCUUACCCAGGACACCAAGGCUCUACAAUGUCUGAAGUGAAGAGAUUACUGCCCCAUUUUCCGGAUGAGCACACUGAGGCUCUGCGAGGGAAGACUCUUGCCCAAGGUCCAGGAAGGUGACCCCAGCUAAGCCUCUAUAUUUUCCUCACUGGUUGGUGGUUUGGACUUGGGUCCUUGAAGGUCCGACUGGCAGGGGUCUGUCUUGGGAGGUAGGUGUACCUGGAGGGCAGCGGAAACAGAGAAGCCCACGAGGCCGGCGCUAAGGUGGGCCUUGCUCAGCACAGCACACAUGGCGGCUGCCAACACCAGCACGUUCCCCAGGAGCUCCAGGUUGGUAGCCAGCCACCUGCAAGGAGAGGCAGCUAAUUUCAGUUGGUCUCCAGCUCUGGCAACUGAAAGAGUCAAGCCUAAUACAACACUUGGAGACCUUGCAAUGCCUCCUUGGUUUCUAGAUAAUUGGAGAACGGGAAGCUGAUUUCAGCAGCAGCAGGACAAAAUGUAAGAUAUUAAGAACUUAGACACGGACAUUCGGGAGAGAGUGUUGAGUAUAGAUGUUAGAAGUCAACUGUGGUGUCUCUGCCUCUGGGAAUUCUUCUAGGGGUUCUUCCACUGUGCAGAGCCUCUUAUGCUGAAUCCUGUCCAGAGACAAGAGACUGGCUGAGGUGACCCGAGCUGGCCCCAGGGGCCUCCCCAAUCUCUCCAUACCUGAAAC